rnacentral:sRNA from 1 species
AUAUGGGUGUGAUUCUGGCUGCAACAUCUGUCACCCCAUUGAUCAUUAGGGUUGAUUUGGAUGAUGCAGCUGGAUAGGCAGGUGUCUCCCUUCCUCCCUCCCUACUCAGAGGACAUCCCUCCCAAAGUCGCAUGCUCAUUCAAAGAGGACAAGCUUCCUUUUUUAAAAAAAAAAAAAAAUUAUUUAUUUAUAAGAGAAAGAGAGACAGCAAGAGAGCACAAGCAGGGGGAGGGGCAAAUGGAGAGGGAGAGGCAGAUUCCCUGCUGAGCAGGGAGCUCGAUGUGGG